GGAGAGGUGGCUGAGUGGUCGAAAGCGGCAGAUUGCUAAUCUGUUGAAGUGUUUAGGCGCUUCCGAGGGUUCGAAUCCCUCCCUCUCCG
rfam:Microcoleus chthonoplastes PCC 7420 scf_1103659003829 genomic scaffold, whole genome shotgun sequence.